AGCAUCAAGAGUCAGGCAGGGGCAGCAGCCCACGUUCAGCUGGAAUUCUGUGGCUUAACCCAGGGGUUUUCUAUGUGUCAUGAGAGAUAACACAACACUCUCACCAACGAAGUUGAAUAAAUUAUAUUUAGGACUCACAAGCUGGUAGUGGGAACUAUUUGCAGCUUUUUGAGCAGGGGAGGAAUGACGAUCAAAGCUGUAUUUAAGGAAGAAGAAUCUGACAGUGCUGCGUGGGCUUUGCUGGAACUGGGCAGUGAGAAGGCUAGAAAUUGCAUUUGUUCCGGUAAAAGUGAUAAAAAAGAAAUGAUCAGAAGUGGAAAGGUGGGUUAGUGAACCAAUGUUUCCACCUCUGAAGGGCCACGGAGCCAGGGAGGAGGAUUUACUCUUCUCUGUUAAGAAGGAGCUCUGCUGUCCUGACCAAAUGCCAGAAGAUGUGACUUUGCUCAGACCAAGCUACCAAAGACCACUGCCCUUCGUUCCACGAGCCUGGCCCUGUCUACACAGACAGGCAACCCAGGAGCCUGAUCCAGGAGCCGACAGGUAACUCUGGGCCACACAGCACUUGGCAACUGU
ensembl:lncRNA novel transcript